GCUAACGCUGGCGGCGUGUCUUAGCCAUGCAAGUCGAGGGGCAGCACAUGAGUAGCAAUACGAUGGUGGCGACCGGCGCACGGGUGAGUAACACGUAUGCAACCUACCUUUAACAGGGGAAUAACCCGUUGAAAAACGGACUAAUACUCCAUAACACAGGGGUCCCGCAUGGGAAUAUUUGUUAAAGAUUUAUCGGUUGAAGAUGGGCAUGCGUUCCAUUAGCUUGUUGGUGAGGUAACGGCUCACCAAGGCCACGAUGGAUAGGGGAACUGAGAGGUUUAUCCCCCACACUGGAACUGAGACACGGUCCAGACUCCUACGGGAGGCAGCAGUAGGGAAUAUUGGGCAAUGGGCGAAAGCCUGACCCAGCCAUGCCGCGUGAAGGAAGACGGCCUUAUGGGUUGUAAACUUCUUUACUACGCGAAUAGAGGUUAGUACGAGAUACUAAUAGGAAGGUAGUGUAGUAAAAAGCACCGGCUAACUCCGUG
rnacentral:rRNA from 1 species